rnacentral:rRNA from 1 species
UACGGAGGUGACAAGCGUUAUCCGGAUUUAUUGGGCGUAAAGCGCACGCAGGCGGCUGAUUAAGUCUGACGUGAAAUCUCUCGGCUUAACCGGGAGCGGUCGUUGGAAACUAAUUGGCUUGAGGCGAUGAGAGGGGUGUGGAAUUCCCGGUGUAGUGGUGGAAUGCGUAGAUAUCGGGGGGAACAUCAGUGGCGAAAGCGGCGCACUGGACCAUAACUGACGCUGAGGCGCGAAAGCUAGGGGAGCAAACAGG